UUCUGCCAGAAGCCGAUGGUAGCAGUUUGGCCUUCGGCGAGGCUGUUGGCCUGUUCGCCGAAGUUGUAGUUUUCGCCGUCAACGCCUGCGUCCAGGACAAUGUUGGAGAAUUCAUUGUCGACGAUGACUGGUAAUGGGU
rnacentral:rRNA from 1 species